rnacentral:lncRNA from 1 species
UGAAUAUGUGAAAUAAUCAGAAUUUUAUCACUUGAUAAUUCAAUCAAUUUCAUAGUAGAACAUAUAAUAUUAUUAAAUGAUAAAUCUUCUUACUGAGGUGGUGCGUCCACCCAUAUAAGUUUUUCUCUUCAUACACAAGACACUAGGACAGGGAUUCAAAUGCAAAUGGAGCAAAUUGUUUUUCUUAUUUGUACUUUACCAAAACUAAGGAGAACAAUGGUUAAUAUCCCGAAAAAGGAAAAUUACAAGACGACGUGUCGAGUUGCCUACAUUCAUCAUCGCUGCUGAGCACACCUGAAGAAGGACGAGCUCUGUUCCCCAUCAUCUUCCAGUCACUCUCUCGCUGUCUCUGUCUCAGUAUCACUGAAUGGAGCUGCAAGAAAUGGAAGAAAAACUGCAAAACGGGGACGUUUUACUUGAGGUGAAGAAGAAGAAGAAGAAGAAAAGGAGAAAGAAGAAGAGAAAGCGAGAGAACAGAAAAUAAAAAAUCGAAGAAGAAGAAGAAGAAGAAGAAGUUGAAUUAUUGCAGGACCCACUUGAGGUUUUGGGUAGAGACAUAAUGUUGAUGAUACUUAAGAACCUCGACGCACGCAGCGUGGCACUAUCUCUCCUCGUGCCCCGUGCUUGGCACGGUGUCGCUUCCAGCGAUUCGAUUUGGUCAGCCAAGGUUAAAUUUCUUCUUUCUUUUUUAACCCUUUGGCUUGUAAUUUGUAUUUGAACUUGGGAUUAGUUUAUUUUGUAUUGAUUUAGUGCUUUCCUUGGAGAAUUUUGAUCAUUGGGUUGCUCUAAUUUCACAAAUGGGUUUUUGUUUUGGGAAAAUUGCAAUGGUUAUAUAAUGUAAAUGUUUGUCUAAUUUGGCAUGUGUUUUGAGAAAGUCUUGAUUAAGCUUGUUAAGUAUUUGUUUGCUGUGUGAAAUAAUCAUAAUAGGAAUCCAAUCAGUUUUGUAGUUUAAAUUUCAAUUAGGUUCCUACUAAAUUGUCUGCUCUUGAAUGACCACAUGGGUAUCAUUACCACGAAUUCAGCAUACCAACAUACUACGUUCUGUAAAUUAUUGUCUGUUGAAUGACCAUGCAUUUGGUUUGGAUUGUAAUUCAGAAUGGGUAGUAUUACAUUGUGAGUGAGAAGGUAAAUAGCUACAAAUUUCGUAGAACAUAUGGGAUUGUUGAAUGUAUGGGAAACUGUCUGUGCAAUCUUCAGAUUUUAUACAAGUAAUCCUCUUGAUUUUUCUGCUUCCAAAUUUAGUAUUUUUUAGUCUAUAAUUAUUAUUUUGUUCUGGGUAAAAGUCUGUUUAGUCCCUAUAUUAUGAGGUUAGUGUCCAUUUAGUCCCUGUAUUUUUAAAAACACCUCAAAACGUCCCUGCUACUAAAUAUUGACACUUAUGCCAUUAUUUUUUAUUAUUUUUAACUUAUUUUUACAAUAUUACAUUUUUACAAUAAUAUUUCUUUUUUGGAUAUUAAUAAAAAAAAUUAAAUUAUCAAAUUAAACUCAAAAAUAAAAUAAAAACAAAAAAGGUAUAUAUUAAUUUUUGUGGAAGCUCACGUAUGUCUAAAAAAUUAAUAUCGUAAAAAAUUACAUUAUCAAUUUUUUUAGAAAAAUUAAUAUUUUAACUCAAGAGUGUGUUCCACAAAAAUUAAUAUAUAUAUUUUAUUUUAUUUUAUUUUUUGGUGUUAAACUGGUAAUUUAUUUUUUUCUUUUUAAUAAUGUCUAAAAAAAUUAUUAUAAUAGGGUUAUUUUUUUCUUUUUAAUAAUGUCUAAAAAAUUAUUAUAAUAGGGCAAUAUUAUAAAAAUAAGUUAAAAGGAACAAAAGAUAAUGGCGAAAGUGUCAAUAAUUUAGUGGUAGGGAUGAUUUGAGGUAUUUUUAAAAAUAUAGGGACUAAACGGACACUAACUUCAAAAUAUAGGGACUAAACGAGCUUUUACCCUUUUGUUCUAUUCAAUUGUAUUAAAAUGAUGGAAAUAAUAAUUAUUAUUUUCUGCCAUAAUGAUUUUCAAAUAAUUAUAUUUAGUUGGUCACUAAAUUCAAAUCCUAGAGGGUGGUGGUGGAUAAAAAUUGAAUUUGAAUUAUAAUUUUAUUUAUCUUUUGGCUUUGUACACUCAGAAAUGGAUUAUCGUGCGAUUCAAAAAUUAUUUGAAAAAAGGAAGAGUCUGAUCAAAGAAACAGACCAAUAUUUGUGGACUCCAAUUCAUUACGCUGCAUAUCAUAAUCAAUAUCAACAGAUAUAUGUGCUAUUAGAUAUUGAUCCAACUGCUUCAAACAUUUUUGACAAAGAUCAAAAGAUGACAGCUCUUCAUUUGGCAGCGGGCCGAGGGCAUGCUAGAGCAAAUGAAAGAAUUCUUUCUCUUGCAGCAAAAUGUUAUGAACUGGUCGAUAACAGGGGAUGGAAUUUUUUUCAUUAUGCAAUGGUCAAUUUUUUUUUUUUUUAAUGAUUUAAAAACUUUCCUAAAAAAUCUGUUAGCGAGGAGUCUUAUAAAUGAGGGGGAUGCCAAGGAGAACUCUAUAUCAUUAGGAAGACUCAAGCCAACGAUCGCACUGUUAACAAGCAAAAUGUUAGUGUUAGACACCUUUUGAAAUAUGGCUAUCCUACGCUCUAAGGUAAUUAAUUUGUUAAUUCUUUCAACUUAUAAUCCAGCUUUCUUUUUCAUUUUUUUUCUUUUUUUGAGUGGUACUAUUAGCACCCCUCUAAAUAUCUCUUAACACCCCUUUUCUUAAUUAACCCCAUUAAAAUGUUUUUAAAAAAUUAAAUAAGUCUUUGAACACCUCCAUUAAUAACAAAAAUACCCUUAAUUAAAACUUAUUGUAUAAACCACAUUCUCUAAUUUUUAUUAUUAAACCUCAUUUUAAUAAUAGGGUCGCUCCUAUUUAAAGAAAAAACAAUAGGUUUUUAUUCUCUCCAUAGUAGCUAUCGGUGGUAAAUUCUUUACUCGAAAAUUAAAGGAAAAAGCAACUUUUUUAAUUACUAAAAUGUUAGAUUUUAUAAGGAAAAAAAUUAUUUGAUUUUUGAGUGGAGAUUUUCUUAAAAAUUUACAUAUUAUGUAAUUUUAAUAAAUGUUAAAAUCGUAAAAUAAUUAAAGGGAUUUUAAGAGCUAUUUGGAGGGGUGCUAAUAGUCCUACUCUUUUUUUUUUUUUUUCAGUUUAUGCAAUUAAUUCAUAUUCAAAUUCAAAUUACAGGAGGAAAUCCAAAAGUUGCCCAAAGAUGUUGGCAGAGGACAAUAUCCAGACAGUGCCACAUUCAUAAGAACAGUGCUAUAUUGCUAAGAUCAGAUCCAAAUGCAGUGGCACGUGCUGUGUUUACUUGACAGGGCUAGUCCGAAUAAAUAUUCAACAUGCCUUAAAAUUUUAUGGUUUUGGUGCAAGGGAUGCUGAAGCGCUUGGUGUGCGUGAGAUCCUCAGCUGGAUUAAGAAGCGGCAUUUGUCUUGUGUUGUAGUAGAAAUGGACUGCAUUCAGGUUUUUAAAGCUCUCACAGCAAGCUAUUCUUGUCCGAAUGGGUAUGGUCUUAUUCUUGAUGAUUGUCUAGCUUUAGCUAAGUCUAUAGGAGAUAUUGAGUUCUCUUUUAUUCGAAGGUCUGCGAACACUGCCGCCCAUGUUACCGCUCGGGUAGGGGGUUCUUUGUCAGGCUUUGAGGAGUGGAGUCAUGUUCCACCUCCUUGGUUAUUUACUUCUCUGUAAUCUUUGCCUUUUAAUGAAGUUUCCAGUUUCAAAAAAAAAAAAAAAACUUUUUUUCUCAAGUAUGUCCUUAAAUCAAUCUUUAUUAAAAUAAUAUUUAUAGUUAAGUUAUUCUUUUUUGGAACCUUUAAAAUUCAAAAUUAAAAAUAGUAAUCUAUCUUUUUAAUUACUUUCUUUGGAGCAAGUUUCUCGAUGUUGCAAUAUCUUUUGAAUAUUUUUUUUGUUACGUUCACACAGACAUAUACAAUAAAUUCAUAAAUUUAUAAUCUAACCCUGCCUGGUCAAAAGAUUAUCUUGACGAUCCUAAAUAUGAUUACAAAGAUAUGACAGCGUCCAAUGUUGUAGUAUAGUGAAAAUUACCCUUUAGGACAAUGCUUUGCACCCCCCUUGAGGAAUUUUCUCUGAGUUCGUAUUCGUUGGUCGGAUAACAAAUUCUUAGUUGUAGGAAGCAACUAUUUGGUUUCCGGCUGCAGCCACAAGGUUAUGAUUGUAACUUUCUUUUUUAAAUAACAAAGAAUAUUGUUGUCAAGCUAUUGUCCAUCACCGUUGAGUUUUUUAUGGGUGUUGUUGUUCCGGCUGAGCUGAUCCUUCAAAAAGUUAUUUUGCCUCAUAUUUCCAACGUAAAUGGCCCAACAAAUUUGUGUCAUUCUGUAUAUUUAUUAAUAUGAAUACGUUUCAUAAUUGUGCGACUUAUCUUUCUGUCUUAGUUGUUAUAUUAAAAAAAUUAACUGGAGAAAAAGAAGAUCUAACAUUUUUUUCUGGUCAAGGCAGCUGCUUCUCGAAAAAAUAUUGUCGCUGAUAUCCUAGGUUUCUCGGAAGGCUCUUUUCCUUUUGUUUAUCUUGGAGUUCCAAUUUUCAAGGGUUGUAUUUUGGCCCAUGCCGGGCGAGUUGAGCUAGUAAAUACUCUUGGCCGUGGGGAUUGAGUUAAUAAUUUUUAUUUUUUUUUCCAUUGAAAACACUACAACGUUUUGCCUUUGUUCUUCUCAGCGGUCUCUCACCCCACGAUUGAUUUAACAUUUCUCUUACAAAUUAAAAGAGUAAGUAAACAUUAAUUAAAAAAUUAUCCAGGUCAGCAAAAAGUCAACAGAUAGAUGCACAAAAACUCUAUUCGCCUCCACGUAAACUCGUAGCAUUUAGAUGCAACCCUUAAAUAAUAAAGUUACUGCUUUCAAGUCGUUGUUCAACACCAUUGUGUUUGCUAAUUGGUAACAUUGAUCUGACUGAUUGAAGCUUUUAACGAAACUAUAUUGAAUCAUAUCAAAUGGACCCUGAUUUCAAAGCUGCAGUUAAAAUACUGAACCUUUUAAGGAUAUGGGAAGAGAUGUAACUUUGAACUAGAGGCGUCAGUGGACUUGACACAGCUGAAUGUGUAAAAUAUAUUUUGCACAAACUAAACAAUUGUAAAACUUUGAAGUUGUCGGAUGGGAAUUGCAUAAUAAGAUUGUCCCACUGGAUCCAUUGUGAUGCUCGUAUUAAAAAGCUAAAGGGAAGAAAGAAAGAUUUUCAUUCAUUAUUUAUUGUCUAUUUUACGAUAAUAUAAAUACAUAAGCUAUUGUAAUAAUUAUAAAAGAAAGUCAAAGGAAAAAUAAAUAAAGAAGUGUAGUAAUUAUCUGGUGGGAGGAAAAUAAAUGAAAAAGAAUAGUAGGUGUCGGUAGGAAGAAAAUAAAUGAAGUGGAGAGGAAAAUAAAUGAAAAGGAGUAGUAGAUGUCCGUAGGAAGAAAAUAAAUGAAGUGGAGAGGAAAAUAAAUGAAAAAGAGUAGUAGGUGUUGGUAGGAAGAAAAUAAAUGAAGUGGGGGUGGUGGCAAUUAUUAUGUCUAUUUUAAAAAUCAUCAUUGCAUUUCAAAAGUUAUUAUUGCAUGUUUUUUACAUGUACCCUGUAGUUAUUAUGCUUGCCUACCAAUAGUGUGAAUCAAUUAAAGGUUGGUGGAAGAAUAAAGAACAUAUGUUAAAUUAAGGUAAGAAUUUCCAUAUACAUAAAUAAUAGUUAAUUAAUUAAGUGAUUUUAAAUCACUUAGAUGUUUUUCUAUCAUACAAAACGUAUAAACGUCUAUAAUUAGUACAUGAAUGACACAUACACAUUCCAUAUAGUAUCAUUUUAGGAAGUGAUUUAACAAGUAACAAGAGGGCUAAGAGGCAACGUUGAAUCACUUUUCUUUUGUAGAAUUAAUGAACUAUCAAUUGUACUCAUAGAGGAUUCCCCUAUUAUUUUAUUGUUUGCAAUCACUUAAGAGUCACUUGAUUCUUUACCCAACAAACAAAAAGAGCAGAACUGUAUAUGGAAUCCGAUGGAAACGUGAUAAGGAAGGCUGCAGUAUUUAAAGAUUGAGGAUAUGGCUCUGCAGACUUUUUCAAUAUGAAGGACAAUACAAAAGAAGAAAUCAUGGUAAACUUUAAUAAUUAAUUGGUAUAUGUUUUUGUGUCUGAGUUCUUAAAAAUAUUGCGCCGCAGUUUAAUUAAUUAUUAAUUAAACAUACAAGCACCCACAGUUGAGAAAUUGAAUAGUUUGCCAAAGAGAAUGACUAAUCUCAAUUUAUUCAUUUGUUUAACUAAAAGAGCAUGAGGAAGAAAUCAAGGUUAAAAAUAGUGAGAAUUAAUGUCGAUACUUUUAACUGUCUGUUUGUCUCUUUUUCUUUUCCGAUAAUACUUCCCUGUUGUUGGCCCUCUUUGUUUCUUUCUUCAAUAUUUUCUACUCGGCCCAUUGAGCCCAUAAUUUCCUGUGCUGCUAUCAACUUGUUUUCCCGCUUUUUUCCUUUCAUUUUUCCCUCCACAAUGCUCUCUCUUCUCUAUGCAUCUGCUUCAUCUCUGUUGCACCUGCUAUCUUGCUGCAAUCGAUCUUCUGCAAUCGAUCUUCUGCAAUCUCUCUCUAUUUAGGCUGUGUUUAUUUGCUGGAGUGAGAGUGAGGAGUGUGAAUUCCUCCCACUCCAGCGUUUAUUUCCUUAAAAUAGGAAGGGAGUAGAGCCCCACUCAUUUUUUUAGUGGGGAGUGGAAGUAGGAGUGGGAAUCCACUCCUACCUCUCCCUUUUUUACCCUUUUAUUUUUUUAAUUUAAUUUAAUAUUUUAUAAUUAAUAAAAUAAAUUAAAUAAUAUUAUAUUUAUUUGAAUAAUAUUAUUAUAUUUAUUUGAAUAAUAAUAUUAUAUUUAAUUAAAUAAUAAUUUGUAUUGAUUCUAAGUUAAAAUUAUUUUAAAAUAAUAUUAUUAUAUUAAUAGAGAAUUAAUAAAUAUAAUAUUAUUAUAUUUAUUUUAAAAAUAAUAGUACUAUAUUUAUUUAAUAUUAAUAAUAAUAAAUAGUUUAUUCUAAGAAAAUAUUAAUUUUGUACUAAAUAAUAUUACAUUAUUAUUUUAUAUAAUAAUAAAUUUAAUAUAAUUAUAUUAAAUAAAAUAAAAUAAGGUUUCAUUUUAUAUUAAAAUUAAUAAUUUAUUGUUCAUAAUUAAGAAUAAUAAUAAUUAUAAUAAAUUUACAAAUAUAAUAAAAUAAAUAUUAUUCAUUAAAUAUAUUUUUUAUUAGUUUUGUAAUUAAAAACUAUAAUUCUUUAAAUAAGGAUAAAAUUAUAAUUUGAAACUAUUUACUCCUAAUCCAAGACAAAGUAAAUACAUAAAUUAGAUUCUGAUCUCUAUUCCAUAUUUUCAUUCCAGUGUAAAUAAACAACCUACUCUCACUCUUACUCCACACUCUCAAUCCUAAGAUUCACACUCCUAGGAUUCACAAUCCAAUUCAAAAAAUAAAUGCUACCUUAAUGCUCCCACACCUACUUCUUCCACCUGGCUACCUCUCAUUAGAUUUGAGCAAAUCCCCAUAUUAAUUUGGCUUGGCCCGGAACAGCCUCCACUCUCAUCCCGAUUGGCCCGACCCGUAUUUUUUCGGUGUCGUUACCCUGUCAAAAAAGCAAGAAUUUAAGACGUGAAAAAUACUACACUUUUCAAGUCAUAUAUACAUACAUGUAAGGUUUAGAGGAAGAUCUAUGAGUACCUCCGAGAUACUGGGUACCCUUAUCUAAUAGAUCAACUUCGCCAAAAUGAAUCCUGUUUCCAUUGAGAUUGAGGAAGCUUCAUUAUUGGACAACAAUGGCGAGAUCAGUCAGUCGCAAAUAGACCCAAUUUUGUUCAAAGUUGCAGCUGCGGGCAAUUCGGAGCCCUUCAAAGAUAUGGCAAGAGAGGUAAUUGAGAGCUUGUUAACAGCAAAGACCAAAAACACAAUCCUGCAUAUCAGUAUCAUAUCCCAAGAAAGAGAAAACGUGUCAACGAAGUUCGUAGCAGAAAUACUUGAGAAAUGCCCAUCGCUGCUACUACAAGUUAAUGCCAAAGGCAAUACUCCACUUAACGUUGCUGCAAAAUUCGGCCAUUCUGAUAUAGUAAGGGUUCUUGUUGAAAGAGCAAAAUUACCUCAACAUGAAAAUGAAGAGCUAGAGAGCGGGGUAGGAGCUGCCAGGCAGAUGAUUAGGAUGACAAAUAAUGAGAAGAAUACAGCACUCCACGAGGCGGUGUGUCACCAAAACGUCGAUGUGGUGGAAAUACUGACGAAAGAAGACCCUGAUUAUCCAUAUUCUGCAAAUAAUUACGGCAAAACGCCACUCUACAUGGCUGCUGAGUCUCGGUGUUCUAAUAUGGUGCUUGCCUUAUUGGAAAACAGCACAUCAGUGUCUCACGAAGGCCCCAACGGAAAGACGGCUUUACAUGCUGCAGCAAUGGAAUUUCCUUUCGGUAAAUUUAGUACCCUUUCAGUAGGAAUUUCAAUAUUGAUAUCUUUCUAUUAAUAGAUUCUUUCCAUAAUGUUCAAGUAAAUACACCCUUUUAAUUCAUUAAUAAAUUAUUAAUUGUCAUAAAUUUAAUCAUGAUAAAUUGUCAGAUAUAAAUUAGUAUUUUAAAAUACUAUAAUAUCCCACAUUGAGGAGAAGUAAGAGCAGUUGAAUUUAGUUUCAAUUAAUUACUUGGUUGAAUUGCUUACAAAUUAGAUGUGAAUAAUUCAAUUUUAUUUAUGAUUGAAUCAAAUUGUGAGACUCAUACUGACUAAUUUAAAUUAAAUAUAAAAAAAAAAGUAGAUAACGAGUUCAAAUUUGAGUUAGGAAAAAGUUAUGUAGUUUUGAUACAUUUGAAGCCUUUAAGGUGGGUUUGAUAGUUCUAUUGUUUUAAAUAAUGUUCUUUACUGCUAUCUCAUCUUUCUUCACCAAUUUAUUUUCUUUUACGAUUCUAAAUUGUUAUCCUUGAGUGCAUGUAACGACCUACCCGAAUUUCAAAGGUGAAUCUAACUACGGUUAACAUAUAAACUUCAACGGCUGAUCGGCAACAAAUCGGCCACUGUUUGAUGGUCAAAAAUUGAAGUGACUGCCAUAAAGGACAAAUCCCAGGUGACGACAUGACCGAAAUCCUGUGAAAACUCGCCGAUUUGAGUCGUCGUCCUCCGUGACUUAACACGGGUUUGUGGGGUGGUCAUAGGCUGUUAACAGCAACAAUGAUGAUGGGGGAAUGACUGGCAUCGUCUGGGAGUUCGGUUGAUACCCUCCAUUGCCGGAGAUGUGGCCGGAAUCGGAAGCACCGAUUCAAGUUUCGUGAACGGGUUGACCUGACCCGUUUCUCUCUCCUCUGACCCGAUCGCGCACGUUGUCUCUCUCACUUAACUCUUAAUCCAGUUAAUGACUAAAUACCCUUAGGAGAAUUAAUUUUCUGAAUAAUGACAAAAAUACUCUUAAUUUAUGAAGAAAUUAAGUGCUGUUAUGAAGGAAUUAAUUUUUUUACUGCGAAAUGCUCCUAAAAAAUUAAUCUUUAGAACUGUAAAUACAGUGAAAAUUGGUCUUUUGGAUGAUAACUAAGAUAGGGAAAGUUGGUUUUAGGAUAAUUAGAUUCACCGAAUUAGUCUUUAGGAUAGUGCUUCAAACAUGUCUCAAUGAAUUUUGCAAAAAUUGUUAUUUCUAUAUGCAAAAUCAGGGAAAUGAUUGCAAGUUCUUAUUUUGUUAAAUAACAAAGUUACCGAUCUAAAGCCAUUAUUCAUUACUCAUCGUGUGAUUGGUGUUGGUGUUGUUGCUCUAGACUUCUGGCUGAUUUGGAAUUUAAAAAAACUAUUUUAUUUUCCUCAUAUUUCCAACAUAAAUAGCCCCCCAAAUAUAGGUCAUUUAUGAAUAUUUACUUUUAUUAAAAGUUUUCAUUAUUAAUUGAUUUAUCUUCUGUAUUCUCAGCUAAUGCUGCAUUCCAAAAAUUACUUGAGGAAAAGAAGAAUCUGAUCAAAGAAACAGAUCAAUAUGGGUGGACUCCAAUUCAUUACGCUGCAUAUCAUGGAAAUUACUGGACGAUAAAAUUGCUAUUAGAAACCGAUCAAUCCGCUUCGAACAUUGCUGACAAAGAUCGAAAGAUGACAGCUCUUCAUUUGGCAGCGGGCCAAGGGCAUGCCAAAAUAGUUAAAGAAAUUCUUUCCGUCAAUCCAGAAUGUUACGAGCUGGUCGAUAACAGGGGAUGGAAUUUUCUCCAUUAUGCUAUGGUUAGUUUUCAUGUUGGACAACUAAGAAAUCUUCUUGAAAAUAAUCCGUUAGCGAGGAGUCUUAUAGAUGAGGGGGAUGCCAAGGGAAACACUCCUCUCCAUGUGCUUGCUGCUGUCCGUCCAAAAGAAUUCGAUGUCGAUUUGGUUAGGAAGACUCAAACCAACUAUGACGCUGUCAACAAACAAAAUGUUAGUGUUAGACACAUUUUAGAUUAUGGCUAUCCUGAGCUCAAGGUAAUUAUUUAAUUUGUUCUUUCAACUAAUUAUUAAAUUUUAUUUUUUUACGAUAUUAAUUAAUAUUCAAAUAUAAAUUAAUUACAGAAAGAAAUCCAAAAAUUAUCCAAAGAUGUUGGCAGAGGACAAUAUUCAAAAGGUGUUAGAAGAGUAGUGCAAAAGUGUGUUACUAAAGAAAAUUACAAGGAUACAAGAGCAUCACAUUUGGUAGUGGCUGCACUCAUAGCAACAGUAGCCUUCGCAGCAGCUUUCACCAUUCCUGGCGGUUAUAGAAGCGAAAAUGGAACUGCAAUCCUGAGGAGAAAUAAAGCUUUUCAAUUAUUUAUGGUAGCAGAUUCCAUUGCCAUGGCCUUUUCUCUUUCUGCCGUCGUUACUCACUUCUGGUUGUCUUAUGUAACUGAAGAAACUAAAGAUUUCAAUGAGGAUUUGUUCCACGCUUCCAUUUGGUUCACCUUAUUGUCCAUGGGAGCAAUGGUGAUUGCAUUUGUUACGGGCACAUAUGCAAUGUUAGCCCCUUCUUUAGGCCUUGCUAUUAUCACUUCUUUAAUUGGCCUGAGCUUUUUCUUUCCUGCGAUUUCGCUCAUCAGAAAUAAUCAGAUUGUCUUUUAAAUUAGUAGGACAAAAGUAAUUGAUUGUAGCGAGUCACCAUCUUUGUUUAUCAAUAAAAUGAUUGAUUUUCAUUUAACAUAAACAUUAAUUAAUUUACUCAAUCUUUGUUAAAAAGCAAUCAUUAUUUUAAUUGUGCAUCAAUCACGGAUACUUUAAUGAAAAUUAAAUUUGAGAUUCAGGCCGGUCUGUUUUACUGUCAAUGAUUAGAUUGAAUUGGUGAGAGGAAGUUAAAAUUAAAUUUAAUAUUUUAAAUUGUUUGUACUCUCUUGAUGGAAUAAAAUAUUGAUUAUUUUGUUAAAAAAAAUUUGAGAAAAUUUAUCUCUUUGUAUAAUAUGUCAUGAUAAAUCUUCAAUUAGACAUGAGUAAAGAAAUUUCUAUUAAAAUUUAUCUCUUUGUGCACUUAAGGAAGGGACGUUACUUUGGAGGAAUUAUUGCAACUAUCGAAAACUAACAAAUGAAAUGGUUGAGGCUUCAGAAGCUCAGGCAUAUGAUGGACCAGGUUCUGUUCAGCCCGUCCAAACUUGAAAGUGCUUUUAUGAACUUAGGCUUGAGCCUGGACUUGUCCAAGCUCAGCCCAUUUUCCAUCCCUUUUUGGUCCAACCACUGAACAGAAAGGAAUCCCAACUCCUAAUUAGCCUAAUCAUCUGCCCUCUGCUGAAUUCCAUGGAAACAUGUGUAAACCAAAAACAAAAUCGACUUUGGAUUCCUAAAGAUUGUGCGAAACAAGCACAUGAGCGGCUCCACGGCCCAAAAGGCGAUUUUUGGACCAUGAUAAAGCGGACGAGGUAAAAUGCCAAUACUUACCAUUAUACUUUAGGCAAAGUCUCUUUAUCUCUCGACCUUAUUCGUGAGAUUUGAUAAAUUAAAAUUAUGCUUUAGGUGACGUCUCGAGAUAAUAUUACAACAGUUAUUUUUAAUUGAAAUUAAUUACUCUAAAAUAAACUACCAAAGAUAUGCUUUCAAAUUCAAUGUUCGCAAAUUCAAAUGAAUUAGGUUGUAUGAUAUAUAUAACAAAGGACUCACUUUUGUAAACCAUUUAAUCUAUCACAUGUAACGUCAAUUGUACUUGAUUUGGUUUGCCUUUGCCACCUGCUUAUACAGCUAAAUUUUAAUAGGAUAAUUGAUAACUAAGUUCUUAAUGUUUAUCUAAGAUUAAACUACCUAAAAAAUUUAGCCGAGUGAUUUUUAAAUAAUUUUACUUUAUUAAUUACCCAAAUUCAAAUCCUAUGGUAGGUUGAGGGAGAAAAAAUUGAUUUGGGUUGGUUGAGGUAGAUUCUUUUUAAGAAGCACUAAUUAGAAACAAAAAUUAAUAUAUUUAUGUAGAUGGCAGCUAGAUUUGUCGAUAAAUUCUUUUUGAAAUAUCUUUAAUAAAUUUUAACAAAGUAUUCAAUAUGAGAGAGAUUUGAGAUGAAUUAGAAUGAAACUAAAAAAAAAAAGAGUCUCUUUGACAAUAUAUUAAUAGUGCGUUUAUUAACUAUGAUUCAUAAUAGGCAAGAAUCAUAAUGAAUUGGAAUCAAAAUGUAGAAUAAUAAAUUGUUUACUUCAAUUAUAAGAAUCGAGAUCGAAAUCAACAAAAUUCCAAACUUAGUAUGUUUAUUUUGUUUUAAAACUAGAAUAGAUGAUUGUAAGUUAUCAAAAUGGAGUAAAAAGAAAGUUUUAAUUUUCAAUAAAGAUAAAUAAUUUUUACUCUUUAUUCUCAUUUCUCCAUUCUUCUUCUGCCAUCUAAAUGAAAUUCCUACUCAUUCCCAAAUUUAUGACUCACUCAAAAUUUAUUUAUAUUUUUUAAAAUUUUUAGCAAAUAAAUUUUAUUAAUAUAUAAUUCUCAUUCCUCAUUUUUUUUCUAAAUCCAAAAAUAAACACAUUAAUGACAUUUAUUGCAUCGACAAAACCAUGUGGUUGUCCUAAAAUUGAUCUAAGAACCCACAUCUGCUAACUUUAUUUUGACUUUCAAAAGACACGACUCCACUCUGGCAUUCAACCAAUGGCAAGUGGAUGGUUGCUGGCUGUGAGGAAGCCACUUUGGAUUCGGUGACUAUCACCCUUAUGAGUUAUGACUCUCUAGUCUCUACUAAUUGUGAAUUAGAUUCUCUUGUCACUAGACAUGUGACUUGUAACUGUGAGUAGCAUCAGGAGGCCUAUCUCCCUAGAAAAUAACCAAAACGCAUGAUAAAAGAAAAGAAACAGAUAGGGGGAUUCGUGAAAUACUGAAAAUUACGAUCAUAAUAAAUUUUAAUUAAUAUAUGUACCACAACUGCUAUAAACAAUAACAAAUAAAUUUAGAAUUUUUAUUAUAAAAAGAUUUUUUAUCAUUCUAAUUUUGACUGCUAGAUGAACUUAGUGAUUUUGAUAAAUUAAUGAGAUAUUUCUUUCUCUUUUUUUUUUUUGAAAACCUUUAUACAACUUUCUAUGCUCAUUCAUAUUUUAAAUGAAUAAAUUGUUACAAUUAUAAAUAUAAUUAUUAUUAAUAAAAUAUCACUCCAUUGUUAGUCUAUUGAUCUUUUGUUCAUCAGAAAAUUCCAAAAGAGUGGUUGUAAAUCCCCUAUCUUCAAAAGAUAAAAAAAAAAAAAGGUCCAAAGCAAAAUUAUACUACUUGUCCCAUUCAUAGAAUUAUUGCUUCUAUUUUGUGGAAUUCUUAAAGGUGAAAUUAGGAUCAAAACCAUCCUUCAUAUGGAGAAGUAUUUUGUGGGGAAGGCAGAUCAUUCACAAAGGGCUGAGGUGGAGAAUAGGAGAUGGAAAAAGUGCCCAGAUUUAUCACAGUUGCUGGUUGCCAAACCUUCAACAUUCAAGCCAUUCUCUCCACCAAAGCUCCCUCUGGAAUCCAGAGUAUCAGAGUUAAUUGAUGGGGAAAAUAAGUGGAAAGAGGUAUUAAUUCAGAAGAACUUCAUGAAAGAAGAUGCUCAACAGAUCUUGAAUAUCCCCCUGCCAAGAACCCCCAAACCUGAUAAGCUGCUAUGGCAUUUCAAUAAGCGAGGAGAAUACUUAGUCAAGAGUGGGUAUUAAGUGGCCUUGAAUCUGAAAUUUCCUGAUCAACCAAACAGUUCAGAGAAGAAGCAAAUUCCAUGGAACAUCAUAUGGGCUUCAGAGUUGCCAGCAAAGAUAAAAAUUUUCAUGUAAGAGCAGCAAGAAAUCUUAUGCCAACAGCAGUUAACUUGUGGAGGAAAAAGGUGAUUCAAAGUCCCUCGUGUCAAAGAUGUAGAAGAACUGAAGAGACACCCUAUCAUGCUAUUUUCAAUUAUGCCUAAAAAGUAUGGAGGCUCACAGAAUAUGGAGAGGAGAUCAGUCAGUGUGAAAGCAAAGAUGUGCUGAAUUUAAUGGUGGAAUUGGCAAAAAAGAAGAGCAAAGUUGAUAUGGAGAUGAUAAUGGCAUUAUGUUGGGUUCCUUGGCACUCAAGGAAUUUUCAAAUCCUAAAAAACAAGAAGGAAGACCCCCAAAUAUCAGUAGCAAGAGCAGAAGCAAUAGUCCAAUCCUACAAAAACGUCAAGCAGCCGCAAUCAUACAUGCAAGAGGAGAGAAAUGGACAAAGAAUCAACAAUGGAGACCUCCAGCUCCAGGUUGGUUUAAAGUAAAUGUGGACGCAACUAUAAUGGAUGAUCAAAACAAAGAAGGCUUAGGGGUGGUGGUUAGAAAUUCUGAAGGAAAGUGUACAGCAGUAGCUAUGAAGCCAGCAGAGUUCCAUGAAAGCAUUGCUUUCGCAGAAGCUGAAGCCACAAAGUUUGGUUUAGAAAUUGCAGAGCAAGAUGGUUGUUUGCCCUUGAUUGUUGAAACAGAUUCCCAGGAAGUAGUGGAUUUGGUUUUAAAUAGAAAGGGCACUCGGAAAGAGAUAUUUUGGUUAAUCUCCGAGAUUCAAGCCAUUUUAUUGAUAAUGCAGUAGAGCAAAUUGCAGCAUGUUUUGAGAAGUGGUAACAGUGCAGCCCACUCAUUAGCCAAAUUAGACUUAAAGCAAGAUUCUGUAUUCUCAUGGCUGGAAAACAUUCCAGAAAGUAUUUUGUCUGUAAUCACUGAUUUUGAGAAAUGAAAGAUCCUGUUUCAUAUAAAAAAAAAAAAAAUACUGGUGUAUUAUAUUAUGUUGCAUUGUACUAGCACUGUAUUAUAACAAUGUUGUACAAUGUUUGGUGUUAUUAUAUACUGCAUUGAUUUUUUUGUAAUUAAUUUAAAUUAAAUAUUACAUUAUAUUAAUAUUUUAUAUUAUAUUAACAUAUUUAAAUUGUAUUAAUCUUUUAUAUUAUUAUUAGUUAUAAUAAAUUAUAUAUUUAUUAAUUUAUAUUAAUAAUUAUAAUGUAAAAAUAAAAAUAUUAUAUAAUAUUGUAUUAAAUUAAAAAGUUGUUGUUAUUAUUAUUAUUAUUAUUAUUAAGCAAAAGCAAAAGUAAAAGCAAAAGCAAGAGAGAAAAAAAAAAAGCAAGCUAAUGCGGCAGUUGCUACAUUACCGCACCCCCUUUAACUCAUUCUCAUGUUCUUCCAAACAUAACCUUAGUGUUAAUUUAAUGUGAACAGAAUUUUAAUACCCCAUAAUACAAUGCACCAAACAUAUCCUUAGAUAUUUUUCUGUCUAAUAAAACGUAAAAAUGUCAAUAAUUAGUAUAUGAAUGACACAUUCCAUAUAGUAUCAUUUUAAGAAGUGAUUUAAUAAGUAACAACAAGGCUAAGAGGCAACGUUGAAUCACUUUUCUUUUGUAGUAUUAAUGAACUAUCAAUUGUACUUAUAGAGGAUUCCCCUAUUAUUUUAUUGUUUGCAGUCACUUAAGAGUCACUUGAUUCUUUACCCAACAAACAAAAAGAGCAGAACUGUAUAUGGAAUCCGAUGGAAACGUGAUAAGGAAGGCUGCAGUAUUUAAAGAUUGAGGAUAUGGCUAUGCAGACUUUUUCAAUGUUAAGGACAAAACAAAAGAAGAAACCAUGGUCAACUUUAAUAAUUAAUUGGUAUAUAUAUGUUUUUGUCUGAGUUCUUAAAAAUAUUGCGCCACAGUUUAAUUAAUUUAUUAAUUAAACAUACAAGCAACCACAGUUGAGAAAUUGAAUAGUUUGCCAACGAGAAUGACUAAUCUCAAUUUAUUUAUUUAUUUAACUAAGAGAGCAUGAGGAAGAAAUCAAGGUGAAAAAUGUUGAUUCUUGGCUUUUUUCCUUUCAUUUUUCCCUCCACAAUGCUCUCUUCUCUAUGCAUCUGCUUCAUCUCUGUUUCACCUGCUAUCUUGCUGCAAUCGAUCUUCUGCAAUCUCUCUCCAUUUAAUGCUCCCACAACCACUUCUUCCACCUGGUUACCUCUCAUUGGAUUUGAGCAAAUCCCCAUAUUAAUUUGGCUUGGCCCGGAACCAGAUGGGCCCGACCCGUAUUGUUUCGGUGUCGUUACCCUGUCAAAAAGCUAGAAUUUAAAACGUGUGAAAAAUACUACACUUUUCAAGUCAUAUAUACAUACAUAUCAGGUUUAGAAGAAGAUCUAUGAGUACCUCCGAGAUACUGGGUACCCUUAUCUAAUAGAUCAACUUCGCCAACAUGAAUCCUGUUUCCAUUGAGAUUGAGGAAGCUCCAUUAUUGGACAGCAAUGGUGAAAUUAAGCAGCAAAUGGACCCAAAUUUUUUCAAAGCUGCAGCUGCGGGCAAUUCGGAACCGUUCAAAGAUAUGGCAGGAGAGGUAAUUGAGAGCUUGUUAACAGCAAAGACCAAAAACACAAUCCUGCAUAUCAACAUCAAAUUCGAAGAAAGAGAAAACGUGUCAACGAAGUUCGUAGAAGAAAUACUUGAGAAAUGCCCAUCGCUGCUACUACAAGUUAAUGCCAAAGGCGAUACUCCACUUCACGUUGCGGCAAAGUUCGGCCAUUCUGAUAUAGUGAGGGUUCUUGUCGAAAGAGCAAAAUUACCUAAACAUGAAAAUGAAGAGCUAGAGAGCAGGGUAGGAGCUACCAGGCAGAUGAUUAGGAUGACAAAUAAUGAGAAGAAUACAGCACUCCACGAGGCAGUGUGUCACCAAAACGUCGAUGUGGUGGAAAUACUGACGAAAGAAGACCCUGAUUAUCCAUAUUCUGCAAAUAAUUACGGCAAAACGCCACUCUACAUGGCUGCUGAGUCUCGGUCUUCUAAUAUGGUGCUUGCCUUAUUGGAAAACAGGACAUCAGUGUCUCAUGAAGGCCCCAACGGAAAGACGGCUUUACAUGCUGCAGCAAUGAGAUCUUAUGCCGGUAAGUUUAAUUAUACCCUUUCAGUAGGAAUUUCAAUAUUGAUAUCUUUCUAUUAAUAGAUUCUUUCCAUAAUGUUCAAGUAAAUACACCCUUUUAAUUCAUUAAUAAAUUAUUAAUUGCCAUAAAUUUAAUCAGGAUAAAUUGUCAGAUAUAAAUUAGUAUUUUAAAAUAUUAUAAUAUCCCACAUUGAGGAGAAGUAAGAGCAGUUGAAUUUAUUUUCAAUUAAUUGUUUGGUUGAAUUGCUUACAAAUUAGAAGUGAAUAAUGCAAUUAUAUUUAUGAUUGAAUCAAAUUGUGAGACUCAUACUGACUAAUUUAAAUUAAAUAAAAAAAAAGUAGAUGACGAGUUCAAAUUUGAGUUAGGAAAAAGUUAUAUAGUUUUGAUACAUGUGAAGCCUUUAAGGUGGGUUUGAUAGUUCUAUUGUUUUAAAUAAUGUUCUUUACUGCUAUCUCAUCUUUCUUCACCAAUUUAUUUUCUUUUACUAUUUUAAAUUGUUAUCCUUGAGUGCAUGGAACGACCUACCCCGAAUUUUAAAGGUGAAUCUAACUACGGUUCACAUAUAAAUUUAGAUAUCUUUUUACAAUGGAUAACUCAAUUUCUGACCAUCAAUCUAACUAUGGCUCACAUAUAAACUUCAACGGCUGAUCGGCGACAAAUCGGCCACUGUUUGAUGGCCAGAAAUUGAAGUGACUGCCAUCAAGGACAAAUCCCAGGUGACGACAUGGCCGAAAUCCGGUGAAAACUCGCCGAUUUGAGUCGUCCCGUGACUUAACACGGGUUCGUGGGGUGGUCAUUGGCCGUUUUCCGGCAACAAUGAUGAUGGGGGAAUGACCGGCGUCGUCUAGGAGUUCGGUCGAUACCCUCCAUCGCCGGAGAUGUGGUCGGAAUCAGAAGCAGCGAUUCAGGCUUCGUUAACGGGUUGACCCAAGCCAUUUCCUUUCUCUUCUAACCCGAUCGUGCACCUUCUCUCCCUCACAACUCACUUAAUCCAAUUAAUGACUCAAGUACCCUUAUGAGAAUUAAUUUUCUGAUUAAUGAUAAAAAUAACCUUAAUUUAUAAGGAAGUUAAGCAUUGUUCUGAAGGAAUUAAUUUUUCUACUGUGAAAUCUUCCAAAAAAAAACUAGUCUUUAGAAUUGUAAAUGUACUGAAAAUUGGUCUUUUGGAUAACUAAGAUAGGGAAAGUUGGUUUUAGGAUAAUUAGAUUUAACAAAUUGGUCUUUACAAUAGUGCUUCAAACGUGUCUUAGUGAAUUCUUCAAAAAUUGUUAUUUCUAGAUGCAAACUCAGGGAAAUGAUUGCAAGUUUUUAUUUUGUUAAAUAACAAAGUUACCGAUCUGAAGCCAUUAUUCAUCACUCAUCGUGUGAUUGGUGUUGGCGUUGUUGUUCUAGACCUCUGGCUGAUUUGGAAUUUAAAAAAAAAAAACUAUUUUUUUUCCUCAUAUCUCCAACAUAAAUAGCCCCUCAAAUUUAUGCCGUUUCUGAAUAUUUACUUUUAUUAAAAAUUUUCAUUAUUAUUUGAUUUAUCUUCUGUAUUCUUAGUUGAUGCUGCAUUAUCAAAAUUACUUGAGAUAAAGAAGAAUCUGAUCAAAGAAACAGACCAAUACGGGUGGACUCCAAUUCAUUACGCUGCAUAUUAUGGAAAUUACGGGACGGUAAAUUUGCUAUUAGAAACUGAUCAAUCCGCUUCGAACAUUGCUGACAAAGAUCGAAAGAUGACAGCUCUUCAUUUGGCAGCGGGCAAAGGGGAUGCCCGAAUAGUUGAAGCAAUUAUUUCCAAAAAUCCAGAAUGUUACGAGCUGGUCGAUAACAGGGGAUGGAAUUUUCUCCAUUAUGCUGUUGUUAGUUUUCGUGUUGAAAAACUGACAAAUCUUCUUGAAAAUAAUCCGUUAGCGAGGAGUCUUAUUAAUGAGGGGGAUGCCAAGGGAAACACUCCUCUCCAUGUGCUUGCCGCAAUCCGACCAAAUGAAUUCGAUGUCGAUUUGGUUAGGAAGACUCAAGCCAACUAUGACGCUGUCAACAAACAAAUUGUUAGUGUCAGCCACAUUUUUAAUUAUGGCUAUCCUGAGCUCAAGGUAAUUAUUUAAUUUGUUCUUUCAACUAAAUUAUUAAAUUUAAUUUUUUUACGCAAUUAAUUAAUAUUCAAAUGUAAAUUAAUUACAGGAAGAAAUCCAAAAAUUAUCCAAAGAUGUUGGCAGAGGACAAUAUUCAGACGGUGUUAUAUGCAUAAGAGAAUCAGAAGACCGUGCAGUGCAAAAGUAUGUUACUGAAGAAAAUUACAAGGAUACGAGAGCAUCGCAUUUGGUAGUGGCUGCACUCAUAGCAACAGUAGCCUUCGCAGCAGCUUUCACCAUUCCUGGCGGUUAUAGAAGCGAAAAUGGAACUGCAAUCCUGAGGAGAAAUACAGCUUUUCAAGCAUUUAUAGUAGCAGAUUCCAUUGCCAUGGUCUUUUCUCUUUCUGCCGUCUUUACUCACUUCUUGAUGUCUUUUAUAAUUGAAGAAACUAAAGAUUUCAAUGAGGAUCUGCUCCUCGCUUCCGUUUGGUUCACCAUAUUUUCCAUGGGAGCAAUGGUGAUUGCAUUCGUUACGGGAACGUAUGCAAUGUUAGUACCUUCUUUAGGCCUUGCUAUUAUCACUUGUUUAAUUGGCUUGAGCUUUUUCUUGCUUGUGAUUUGGAUCGUCAGAUUGUCUAUUAAAUAAGUAGGACAAAAGUAAUUGAUUAUAGUGAGUCACCAUCUUUGUUUAUCAAUAAAAUGAUUGAUUUUCAUUUUAACAUAAACAUUAACUAAUUUACUCAAUCUUUGCUAAUAAUGAAUCAUUAUUUUAAUUGUACAUUGAUCACUGAUGUUUUAAUGAAAAUCAAAUUUGAGAAACUGUCUACUUUGCUGUUAAUAAUUAGAUUGAAUUGGUGAGAGGAAGUCAAAAUCAAAUUUAAUAUUUCAAAUUGUUUGUACUUUUUUAUGUUGAUGGAAUAAAAUCUUGAUCACUUUGUCAAAAAAAAUUGAAAAAAUUUAUCUCUUUGUAUAAUGCGUCAUUAGAAAUUUUUAAUUAGACAUGAUUAAAGAAAAUUUAUGAUGCGUGUUUAAGGGUGGUGUCUAUAUAUAUAUAUAUAUAUAUAAUAUGUUUGUUUUAAUAGGUUAAUAUAUUGUCAUCGGAAUUUUAUUAAUAUUUACAAUAAAAAAUUUAUCAAAACUAUUCUUAAUAAGUCUAGUAUGACAUAGUUUGAAUUUCUACCCUCAUAUAAUACUAUAGGGAUGUUUGCUCUACUUAUAUUAAUGAAGAAGAAAUUUACUCCUAUCCAAUUUAAUUAGAAGGAAACCGGGUCCAAUAAUAAUUAGGACUCAAAGGUUGCCCUAAUGGGCUAAGAAAAUGAGUAUUUAUAUAAGUAAAUUAAAAUUUACCAUUUAAUAGAGAUAAUGACACAUCAUUUUAAAGUCAAAUCCUACGUCACCAAAUGAGUUGAAUUAAGACCGAGAAAGACCAAAAGGGGGGGGGCGUUACUUUGGAGGAAUUAUUGCAACCAUUGAAAACUAACAAACGAAAUGGUUGAGGCUUCAGAAGCUCCGGCACAUGAUGGGCCAAGUUCUGUUCAGCCCGUCCAAGCUUGAUAGGGUUUUUAUGAGCUUAGGCUUGAGCCUGGACUUGUCCAAGCUCAGCCCAUUUUCCAUUCCUUUUUGGCCCCACCACUGAACAGAAAGGAAUCCCAACCCCGAGUUAGCCUAAUCGUCUGCUCUCUGCUGAAUUCAUGGAAAUAUGUGUAACUGUAAACCAAAAACAAAAUCGACUUUGGAUUCCUAAAGAUUGUGCAAAGCAAGCGCAUGAGCCGCUCCAUGGCCCAAAAGGCGAUUUUUGGACCAUGAUAAAGCGGCAAGCCUGUAUUUACCAAUAAACUUUAGGUGAAGUCGCUAUAUUUCUCGACCUUAGUCGUGAGAUUUGAUCAAUUAAAAUUAAAAUUUAGGUGACGUUUUGAGAUAAUAUUACAACAGUUAUUUUUAAUUGAAAUUAAUUACUCUAAAAUAAACUACUAAAUAUAUGGUUUCAAAUUCAAAUGAAUUAGAUUGUAUGCUAUAUAUCACAAAGGACUCACUUCUAUAAACCAUUUAAUCUAUCACAUAUAGCAUCAACUGUACCUGAUUUGGUUUGCCUUUGCCAUCUACUUAUAUAUACUAAUUUUAAUAGGAUAAUUGAUAAUUAAGUCCUUAAAGUUUAUCUAAGAUUAAACUACCUCAAAGACUUCAUUGAGUGAUUUUUAACUAAUUUUGUUUUAUUGAUUCCCCGAAUUCAAAUCCUAUGGGAGGUUGAGGGGAAAAAAAUGAUUUGUGUUGGCUAAGGUAGAUUCUUUUUAAGAAGCACUAAUUAGAAAAAGAAUUUUAAUAUAUUUAUAUAGAUGGCAGCUAGUUUUGUCCGAAAAUUCUUUUUAAAAUAUCUUUAAUAAAUUUCAACAAGCAACAAGAUAUUCAAUAUGUGAGAGAUUUGAGAUGAAUUAGAUUGAAACUAAAAAACAGAGUCUCUUUGACAGUAUAUUAAUAGUGCAUUUAUUAACUAUGAAUCCUAACAGGCAAGAGUUAUUAUGGGUUGGAAUCAAAAUGUAGAAGAAUAAAUUGUCUACUUCAACUACAAGAAUCGAGAUCGAAAUCAACAGUAUUUCAAAUUUGAUGUGUUUAUUUUAUCUUAAAAUCAAAAUAGAUGGUUGUAAGUUACCAAAAUGGAGUAAAAAGAAAGUUUUAAUUUUCAAUAAAGAUAAAUAAUUUUUACUCUUUAUUCUCAUUUCUCCAUUCUUAUUCCCACCUCUUCUAUCCAAAUGAAAUUCCUACUCAUUCUCAAAUUUAUGCAACUCACUCAAAAUUUAUUUAUAUUUCUUUGUAUUUUUAGCAAGUAAAUAUUAUUAACAAUUCUCAUUCCUCUUUUUUAAAUAUAAAAAAUAAAUGCAUUAAUGACAUUUAUUAAAAUAAACACAUCAACAAAAUCAUGUGGUUGUCUUAAAAUUGAUUUAAGAACCCACAUUGAGAAUUUGUUUCCUUCUAACUUUAUUUUGACUUUCAGAAGACACGACUCCACUCCCGCAUUAAACCAAUGGCAAGUGGAUGGUUGCUGGCUGUGAGGAAGCCACUUUGAAUUCGGUGAUUGUCACCCUUAUGAGUUAUGACCACAAAAAAGGAAAGUGGCUGAAAAAGCAAAUUACUCAUUUUUUUUUUAAAAGGAAGUUUGACCGUAGACUCUAUAGUCUCUACUCAUUGUGAGUUAGAUUCUCUCAUUACUACUUACUAGACAUGUCACUUCUAAUUGUUAGUCGCAUCAGGGAGCCUAUCUCCCCAGUAAUUUUAGUAUGGUGCUUGUUAUACAUUAUUAAGAGAGUCUGCUACUCCACUGUUCCUGAUGGCCACAGGGUUGGUGGUACAAGACCCCUGCUUGUAUGCGUCUAGAAUGAAGUACCGCUGGGUUUGCCAAAUACUUUCUAAAUAUAGAAUAACUAUCCAAUGAGAAAGCUCGAUCAAACUAAAAGACAUGAAUAAUCACAUAUUUUAAUGUUGUGUUCUCUUUGCAUCUUAAGAACUCAUCUUCGGCUUUGUUUAGGCAAUAUUUAUUUGAAUUUUAGUUCGACCCAUAAUAUUUUUGGUCCAACAGUGUUAACUUAGUUUUUCACUUUUGAAAUGUAAAGAAAAUAUAUGAAAUUUUCUCAAAUUAUCAAUGUAAUUAGAUUUCUCAUUAAAAGUUAAUAAUAAACAAAAGUAGUUAAAAACACGAUCAGCCAUUAAUACUUAUGUAACUUACACUGAUCCCAAUAUAUAUACGACGGACAUGUUCGGCCGUUAGGCAAACAGUUUUUGUUUCCUCUCAAUUAGUUGGUAAAAACUAUAAACGAAAGAGCGAGACAGAGAAUAUUGAAGCAAAACCAUCCAUCCAAUUACACUACCAAACAAGAGUGAAGAGCCUUUAUUGUUAAAAUGUUAAUUGCUUAAAUAAAAACAUUAGUUUGCAUGAAUUUUGUGUGUGUGUGUGUGUGUGUGUGUGUGUGUGUGUGUGUGUGUAUGUAUAUAUAUAUCCUUCUUUAGUACGAGUGUGGUGAAAUAUAAGUGUGCAACCCAAGAGGGGGGGUGAAUUAGAAUUUUAAAAAUUAUCCUAGCAAAUCCACACAACAAGCAAUCUAAUGACUUAAUAAAAAUUGAAAGCAAUAAGUUCAAUCAAAGUACAAUAAUUAAAGAGCAAGGGAAGAGAAAGCAAACUCAAGGAUUUUUACGUGGUUCGGCAAUCCCCGCCUACGUCCAUGCCUCCAAGCACACCGGGCUUGAGGAUUUCACUAUCCAAGCCUUUCCAAGGCUUCAAACGAUUACAAUUGACUUCAAGGUGUCAAUGAACCUUUACAACAAGAGAUUAUAUCUCCAAUCUCUUCACCCCAAGUGUUUCUCACACUUGUACUCUCACAAUUUGAUGUGAAAUGAAAAAUACAACAAUUAAUCUCUCUUUAAGAGUGGAUAUACAAAUUGAAGAACAAAGAUGAUUUAAUGAAUGAUGAUUCACGAAGUUGAAGCUCAAUAUAUGUUGUGCGCACUUGUUCUUGCUUGCUUGGAUUGCUUCAAAAUGAGUUGGAUUUGAGUUCUUAUAGUUUGAGCUCAAAAACUAGUCGUUACUCACAUUCCAAGCGUAUCCGGUUUGCCGUUUAUGGAAUUCGGUAAGCCGGAUUUAUGUUACCGUUAAAGCAAAAUUCAAAAUUUUGCCUAACCGGCUUGUCGGAUUUGGAAUCCGGUAAGCCGUUUUCGUUCUGGACGCUUGCUGCCCGUAUCCGAAUUUCCAGUUUUCAAAAUCCGGAUAGCUGCUUGAUACAGUAACCUGCACAGUGCACUAUUUUUUGAAAUUACAGUUUGACCCCAAAACUUUAUAAAAUUGUACUACAACCCAAAACGUUAUGAAACUUUACAAAUAGAUCCAAUUUCAUAAUUUCUAAAUAAUGCUUUGUUUAUACCAAAACUUUCUGAAAUUAUGAUAUUGCCAAAGGUGCUAUGACACUUUUCAAAUAAGUCCUUUACCAAAAUUUCAAGCAAUACUUGUUUAUUUCAAAGUUUUCAAAAUUCUUUCAAUUAAACCAUAAACUUUGAAAAACAACCAAUUUCAUAAAAUCAUUUUUCCAUUAAAUAUGAAACAUUUAUAAUGUGAAAAUAAUAAUUUAUUUAAAAAGAAUAAAAACAAUCAAUUUCAUGAAAUCAUUUUUCCAUUAAAUAUAAAACCUUUAUAAUGUAAAAAUAAUGAUUUUAUUUAAAAAGCAUAUUAAAUAAUUUGGGCUUAAAAGAUUAAUUAUUCUUAAUCUUGUUUGUUAUCAUCAAAAUUAAUAUUAUGGAAACAUAUAUGUCAACAUGUGGUUCAAUAAAGUUAGUGCAUAACGUUAUUAAACCGCACAACUUAAGAGCAUAUUCGCAUUAAAACAAAUGAAGGCGUCCGCCCCUGAAAAUGAUUACGUGUGUGUGUGUGUGUGUGUAUCUUUUAAUUUAUUCAAGUUAUAAGGAUAUAAUAGUGAGCUAUCACAGACAAUUACACAAAUAUUUAGACGAAUGUACAGAUAAACGAAUUAUUGAUUUCUCAUGCCGACAUAUUAGGAAAAAAUAUCAGUAUACUAAAGUAUCACAUAAUGAUUUAUACACAUCUUUUUAACAUGUACACAAUCAAUUCAGAUGUUGCUAAGGGAUUUUUAUUCUUGCUAGGUAAAUUAUAAAUUUACUCCCAGAAGAAUGAUUAAAUACAUAUAAUUUAGGUUCAAAAUACUAGAGGUGGGCACGGGUCGAGUUGAUAAUCAACCCGACCCAACCCACAUAUAGAAUGGGUUGAAAAAAUUCAACCCAACCCAACCCAACCCAUUAAAUUUUUCAACCCAACCCGCACAGUUGUGGGUUGGGUCAGGUUGGGUUGAUUGGGUUGGACUUUUGAAAAAGCUCAUUUUUAUGGUCUAAAUAAAAAUAAAUAAAUUAAUUAAAAAAUUAAAAAAAAAACACAAAUACUAAAAUUCUUACAGCAAAUCCAAUAUUUCAAAAUUUAGCAAUCAAAUUAUUAGUACAUAACUAAUGAAAAAAAGUACAUAAAUUUAAAAUCUUGUUUAAUACAAAACAUUAAAGUCCAAAAAGUGAAAAAUUUUAUAAGUCUUCCAUGCAUAGGAAGAGAGUUUCCUAAAACCAUUGCUCAACACCAACCAACAGGAGUGUAAUGAAGAUCAGUCCAAUGACAUCAAAAUCCAGAUCAAUCCAAAUUAAUUGACAUCAAAAUCUGAUGUCAAUCUUGAAUCUAUAUAACAAUAAAAAUAAAAAUAUUAGGCAUAUAUGUUAUAACAAAUAAAUACAAGGAAAAUAUAAAUAGAAUAAAAAUAAAAAUCAUAAUAUAAAUAUUUACCUGAUGUAAUUGAUUCAUAAAAUGCCAUAUCUUCAAUUGAAGAUGUAUCCUCUUCUACGGCAAUACGAGAAGAACAAAGCCAAUUUUGCCCACAUAUCAAGCUCUCUACCAUUUUAGGACUCAAAGAAGCUCGAAAUGGAUCAAGAAUGCGUCCUCCUGUACUGAAUGCAGACUCAUAAGCAACUGUAGAUAUUGGGAUUGCAAGAAUGUCUUUGGCUACAUUAGACAAAACUUUAUACUUCCCACCAUUUACCUUCCACCAGUUCAACAAAUCAAAUGAAUCGUCAAAGCAAUUUUCACAAUUAUCUAAUAAAUAUUUGUUCACUUCAUUUUUCAACUCUACACCAUUCUCUUCCAGCUGUUUCUUUUUCCAUUUUGAAAGUUUUGCUACAUUGGCUAGUCUAUAAUCAAUAAUAUCACUUUUUUUCUCUGACUCGGAUGGAAAAAUGACAGCAUUAACAGAUUGGUUUUGGCUACCAUUAUCACAUCUAGGGUUAUUAUUUGUGUAAAAGUCAUACAAAGAAGACAAUAAGCCCUUAAUCACUUUUAUGAGCUCACACACAACAUUUUCAUCAUACAACUCCUCAAAACAAAAUUUCACAAAACUCAAUUUAUAACGCAGAUCAAGCACAACAGCAACAAUUAACGACUUAUUUAGAGUGUUAAGGGAACCCCAAUAUUUGUCAUACUUCUCUUUCAUCUUCUUGGCCAUUGCACUCAAAUAAGAAUCAUCACUUAGUACCAAUCCUUUUAAAUUUGACUCUAUAGAAUGCAUCUCAUGAAAAUACAAAUGUGAUGUAACAGACAAAGAAGCACUAAAUUUUUUUGUAAUUUCAUAGAAAUUCUCCAAAAAAUUAUUCAACACACUUGCAUUCACCCAAUCUAUAAGUUCCGAUGGCCCAAUCCUUUUUUUCCACCCUAUUUCUCUUCAAAAUAGGAUCUAUAAAAUCCAUCAUCAUCCUCCAAUCGUUCAAAAGCUUUUUGAUAUAUAAGAGCACUCUCUAACAUCAAAUAGGUGGAAUUCCACCUAGUAGAAACAUCCAUCACAACAAUACAUUUAGAAUCAAGUUUUUCAUGCUCAACACAUUUUCUAAACCUUACUAAUCUAGCCGGUGAUGAUCUUACAUAUUUCACAGCAUUGCGAAUGCUAGAAACAUAAUUAUUCAUCUCUUUCAACCCCUCAGUCACAAUCAAAUUUAUAAUAUGUGCACAACAUCUAACAUGAAGAUAAUCACCAUUCAACAUAAGCCCACCCCAAUUAUUCAGCUUCUUUUUUAAAUAAAAAAUGACCAAGUCAUUCGAACUUGCAUUAUCAACAGUAAUUGUAAACACUUUAUCAAUACCUCAUUCAAGUAAGCAAGACUCAAUCAAUUUUCCAAUUGUAUCUCCUUUAUGAUCAUCAAUCUGGCAAAAGUUUAAUAUCCUUUUAUGAAGUUGCCACUCAUCAUCAAUAAAAUGGGCUAUAAUAACCAUGUAAUUCAAAAUUUGUAUCGAAGUCCAACAAUCAGUUGUUAUACAAACCCUAUACUUAUUACGAGCAAACAUUUUUUUCAAAUUAUUCUUCUCAUUUAAGUACAACUGAUACACAUCUCUAGCAACAGUUCUCCUAGAAAACCGAUCAAGUUUUGGACAAGCUUUGCUCAUAAAUUUCCGAAACCCUUCUUUUUCAACAAAACUAAAGGGCAAUUCAUCAAUAAUUAUCAUCUCAAUUCUACGGUCCUCUUUGCUACAAGAUAUUGCCACAAGAUUACUGCCACCACCAGUUGUGUUAUCCUCAAACACCAAGGUUUUUUGUUUUAAAUCAACUUUCCUAUCAGCAUAGGCUGUGCAUGCUGCCAAAUGAUUCCAUAAAGUACGGGUCCCAAUAAAUCUAGAAUGAUACGCAUACACUUUAGAACAGUAGUUACACUUACAUUUUGUAUCAUUCUCAAAUUUUUGUGUAAUGUUCCCAUACUUUUGACGCUUUUCCACAUUUUCCAUUGCUUGCAUGUGUAUUAAUAACACUAUCAGUUGUACUUUGAGUUGUUGAAGGUGUAGAGAUAUUAACUCCUGGAUUACUGGAUGAAUUUGCUUCCAUCUACAAGGAAAAAAUUCCAGGCCAUGAAUAUUGUCAUUAUCCUAUUAAUAAUUAACAAAUAAUAAAAAAAAUAACAAAUAGUGGUCACAGCAAGCUUAAAGCUCUUUUCUUAAUACCUUUAGCCAUGUUUGGAUACUAUGAUAAAUAAAUAUGAUUAAAAUAAUUUUAUGAAAAAAAUCUAUCAGAGAUAGAAUACAUAUGUGAAUUUGAGAGCAUGACUAGUUAAUACUGAAAAUAUUUCUGCAGAACAAUGCCCAGGAGAUGUUUGUCGAAAAGCCUUUUCCCUAAGAUUAUAAUAAUAACAAUUAUUUUAUUUAUGUUAAUCCAAUUGUUGAUUAAGCUUGACACCAUCAUAACAACCAAAAAUUGACCAACUUUUAUCAAUAAAAAAAUAUUAUAAAGCACUAAAUCAUGAAAUCAAAUGAGCUAGACAUUUUAACAAUAAAAAAUUGAUCAACUUGUUUCAAAACAAUAAUAAAUUAGUAAAAUAGAAAGAAGAAAGAACCUCAGCAUGUGACGAUGUGUAGUUUGGGCAGCUUUUGAAGAAACGUUGUGAGUUGUGAUGUUGUUGUGUUCUAUGCGUGAGCAGAUGAGCAGUUGUUCUUUAAACAAGAGAAUUUGAGUUUAGGGUUCAGAGAAGUUGCUAAAUAUGUUUUUAUAUAUACGGGUUGACGGGUCGGGUUGGGUUAAAAAUUUACAACCCGACCCAACCCGCAAACAGUGCAGGUUGAAAAUUUAACAACUAAACCUGACCCGUAAAUUUUAUCAACCCAACCCAACCCGCAAAAAUUCAUACGGGUUGGGUCGGGUUCACGGGUUGGUCGGGUUAGUGCCCACCCCUACAAAAUACAACCAACAAUGUAACUGAUCAACAUUAGAAAAUGAUUCAUGGUCUCCUAUUAGGAAAAAUAUCAACCAGCAAUGUAACUUAUCAACAUUAGAAAACUUGAUAUAGACAUGGUAUUAGAGAUGUUCCCAGUAGAGCUUGAGCAUGUUGGAUGCAUGAUAAUGGAGAUGCUCUUUAAUAGAGUCCCGGAUGCAUUGUGAUCUCCUUAUCAGAUUAUCUAUAGAUUGAUCUCCAAGUUUGUUAUGGACUAGUUGUUGUACCAUUAUGUUGUUGUUGGAAUGAAAUUAUAUCCCUGUGAAAAAAAAAGAAAAAAAUUCUAGCACAUUUGUAUUCACCCGUUGGUAUUAAUGACAUUAAUGUUUUUUAUACAAGUAAGAGGGGGGCGAGAGAGAUCUGCUAGAAAGAAUAAUAUAUUUACAUGACGAGUCUAGCUACGUUGCCUCGGACGAUGCCUUACAUGACACAUAUGUGACACAACAAUGCCUUACAUGACACAUAUGUAAUAGACACCUGAACUCUAUAAUUCUUGUAUUGGAAGCAAAUCUCCUUUAAAUUUAUAAUAUAUUAUAAACACAGCUAACAAAAUUUUAUACAAUCCAUUUAGCAAACAUGAACACAACACGAAAAAAUAGGUUUAGAUUAUUAAAUUGGAAGCAAAUCUCCUUUAAAUUUAUAAUAUAUUAUAAACACAACUAACAAAAUUUUAUACAAUCGAUUUAGCAAACAUGAACACAACACGAAAAAAUAUGUUUAGAUUAUUAAAUUUGACACAAUUAUUAAAUAAGUUGUACCCUUUUUAAAUUUCAACACAAUUUUUUGACUUCUCGAGUUAGGUUUAUAUUCUUAGCCCAUCUACUCAAUUAAUGAAAUGGUUAUUACGAAGGAUAAACAUUUAUGUGCUAUUCUAGAUGAAUUUAAAACUUAAAUGGUGUAAAUAUGUAAUAUUUCAAUUGAUAUAUAUAUUUUUAUGAUACCGAUAUAUAAUAUUAUUUAGAUAUAUAAAAAUUGUAAAAUUUUUAUCAAAUAGGGGCAAAAAUGAUUGAUAUAAAUCAUGUUAAAUGAGUAUUAAUUAAAUAGAUUAUUAAGUCAUGACACAAUUAUUAAUUAAUGAGUUACGUUGUGUCAAUUGUUUAUUUUACAUAUCAAACUUAAAAUUUUAAUAUUUAAUACAAUUAUUAAAUGAAUAUCUAAAUUACUCUGAUGAUAUUUUAAAUUUCGCAUGGCAACGAAAACCACUUUGUCAUCGGUUUUGCCACCUCUAAAUUAUCACAAUAAAUAACCAAGUCAUCGACUUGCUGUUUUGCCAAGCAAUCACUCAGUAUCUUGCCACGUAUUUGAGUCAGAGGUCAAAACCCCGAUUGUCGUCCUUCAAUUGAAGGAUGAUUUUGUUUUGGAGCUGGGCGUGGCAAGAAUGCAUUAUCGGACCAUUAUUACUUAUAUCAUUACAGAGCAGUACCUGAACCACGUGACCUCCCACCGCUUUUUUUUUAAAAUAUAUAUUUAUUUCUUUUAAAAUACCGAUAACACCCCCGACUGUCUCAUUUUACAUAAUCAUACUCUAAAAGGGCAAAAAUAUCCUAAAUAAAAUAUAUAUAUAUAUUCUCAACUUUAUUAUCAAUCUUCAUAACAAAGUUGAAUAAUAAAUCAAGUGAUAUAAAAAAUCGAGUAAAAUAAUAAGUCAAAAAGUAUUAGCUUUUUAACUUGUAAGCCAGUGGUUCAAUAAUAUCUACGAGAGAAUGAAUUUGAGCCACAUAAAAUUUAUUAUAUUUAAAAAAUAGUAAAUUUGUCGAUCGUAUAUUUUUUACAUACUGAAAAUAAUUUUAAAAAAAAUUAAAUUGGGCAUUUUGGCAUUAACAUAUUUUUAUAUUUUGAUGUUAUUUGGAGCGAAUUUAUUGCAAUUGCCUCGUUUUUCGCGGCUUCCGGUUAUUCCUUUCAUUCGCUUGCUCUGUAGUAAUAGCUACUAGCCUACUACCACACACACACAGAAUGGAACUGCGAGAAAUAGAAGAACAAAAAAACGAUGUCGUUUUACCGAAGAAGAAGAAGACGAAGAUGAAACUGAGAAAGGAGAGAAAGCGAGAGGAAAGAAAAGAAAAACUCAAAGAAGAAGAAACUGAAGAAUUAUUGCAGGCCCACUGGAGGCUUUUGGUGGAGACAUAAUGUUGAAGAUACUUCAAAACCUAAAGGCACGCAGCGUAGCACUGACUCUCCUUGUAUCCCGUGCUUGGAACGGCGUCGCUUCAAGCGACACCCUUUGGACUCCCAGGGUUCAUUUCCUUUCCUAUUCCUUUUUUUUCCCAAUCUUUUUGCCUCGUACCUGAAUUUAGGUUUGUUUCUUUUUUCUUUUAAAUUCAAUUAUAAUCUGCCUAUUUGUAAGGCAUUGCUCAUAAUUUAGGCACUCACUCAUGUAACUAUUCCCUGGACUAGUCACAAGUAAAUGAUAAUCCUGGUAAUCCUAUAUUCAAACAUUUCUUAGCAUGCAUCCAAGCAUCCAAGGCAUUUGUUGUGUGUCCUUUCCUUUACUCUGCAGCUUUCAACUAUUUUGUUGGAAACUGAAAUGAUCAAUUGAUUGGAUGAAUGCCUUUGAAUGCCAUUUUGCCUUCAGGUGGUACCAGAGUAUUGGCUUAAUCUCGACCCCUACUGGAAGGGUACUAGCCCUCUAAUGCACCGUUACUUUCAUGAAGAUGGGAGUCAAACUGCAGAUCCUGGUGACGAGGUAUGGGGCGGGCAUGAAUGCUGUUACUCUAUAGUUACCAGUGUUGUUGGUGAAGGAAAGAUUAGGGAGCACUAUGUUAGAAUAAACCGCUGCUGGCUGCAUAUGCUUGUCUCUAGGAAGAAGGACUGGAGCUGGGAAAUGUCGAAUAUCCUCUACUGCUACUCCAGUGUCCCUGAUGGCCACAGGGUUGGUGGUACAGGACCCCUGCUUCUGUGUCUAGAAUGAAGUGCUGCCGGGUUCGCCAAAUAGAUAUAGAAUAACUUUCCAAUGAGAAAGCUUGACUAAAGUAAAUGACAGGAGGAGACUCAUACUCCAAUGUAGUGUUUACUGCCUUUUAUCAAUUGACUUUUUUUUUUCCCUUUUAAUAAAAUAAGGCUUCUCAUUGGAAGUCCUUUGUUGUAAAAGGUCAUAAGUGGUAAUUGGUACUUCGUUAUUUCGCGGAAUAAAAUAGUUAGAAAGUGUUUUUGGAUAUGCAAUGGACUUAUAAGUUUUUAGCUCUCGUGCAUGCUCCAUGUGGUUGCUUCCCUCAACAGAAACAUAUUUACAGAGUAAUUUUUAUUAUUAUUUUUUUUAAAAAAAAAUUGGGGUACAGACAAAGUUUAAAUUAAUAUUUUUUAACUCUUAUUUUUCUGGAACCCAAAUUAUAAUUUUUUUAAUUUUCUAAAAAGGUUAAGUUGUGGUUAAAAUUUAAAUUAAUAUUUAGCUUUUAUUAUUUCAGGAUUCAAGUGGUCAAUAAAAUAAAAACAGUUGAUGUAUAUUAGAUCAAGCACCUCUAGCCCUAGUAAUAUAUUUUUACAUUAUAAAUUAAUGUUGCGCGUAUAAUUAGGUUCGGCAGCCUAACAUUUUUCAUGAGAGCCUGUCCAAGGAUUUUUUAUAAGGGUUUAAGAAAAAAAAAUUUAUAAGAGAUUUGAUCCUUUAUUUUUUUUAAUAUAACUUAUAAAUUAAAAUAUAAAAAUAAUAAAAAUGAAAAGAAAAUUUAAAACCCUAAUUCAUAAAUUAAUGAUGAUUAAAAAAUAAAAUAUAAUGUUAAAUUAUGUCUUAAGUUUUAAUUAAUUAAGAGGAUUCUUAAAUUAGAGAACUCAAUAUUAAAAAAUUAAAUCUGUAAAUUUUUAUUUACUUCUUUUUUAUUUAUUAUUUUAUUUUAAAUGGUUAAUGUCUUUAAUUGAAUGUUAUUAUUAAUUUAUUACAAAUUUAUAAUAAUUUAAAAAAAUAAUUAAAAAAUCUGUGGAAGCUCAACUCGGCCUUUAUAUUUUCCUUUACAUGGAUUUGCGGAUGGGCUGGAAAAGUCAAAUCCGGCUCCAUCAAUUUGCCAUCCUUACGUAUAAUCAUGAUAUUUUGAUGAAAUUAAGAGUAAGGACAUAAUCUGCAAGCAUUUCCAUACAAGUCCUUAUGAGAAUGUUGAGGACUUGUGAGAGAUUGUUACACCACCUUAGCCCUUUGUAUGUUAAGAUGAUGAGACAAUGUUCUAUUAGGCGGUGAGAGUAAUAAGUCUUAUAGUGAGAAUUUUUUUUUGGAGGGCAGCCAAAAACUUACUUUCUUCAGCUGAGAAUUUGUGGAAUAGGAAGAUACUCCAUGAGUCUACCUGCCAGGUAUGUAAAAUGGAGAUAGAGAAUGUUGUUCAUGCUUUAGUUGAAUGAAAAGUUGCCAAGAAAGUUUGAAGGCUAUUCCAUUCUGAUAAUGAUAUUCAUUGAGCCCCUGGGUAGGAUAUUUUGAGCUUCUUGCAUGGCAUGAAAAGAAUGAGAAGCAAAGUUGACUUAGAAUUCUUUGUCUCGAUUCUCUGGGUGUAGUGGAAUGCAAGGAACCAAUUGUUGUUCAAAGGUAAACGGGAGAGUCCCCAGAUUAUUGUGGCUAAAGCUGAAGCUGUGAUGGAGGCCUACAAGAGGGUGUAACCUUCAACUGUUGUAAGCCAUAGAAAUCAGCAGAGAAUGUCUCAACAAGGGUGGAAUCCCCCUCAAGAAUGAUUUGUUAAGGUCAACACUAAUGCAGUUACCAGCUUAGACAAGAAUCUUGUUGGGCUGGGGGCUAUCAUUAGAGAUGAAACAGGGCAAGUUACAGCAACUGCAAUCAAAAUUUCUAAAUUCCAUGGAGAUGUCUCUUAUGCUAAGGCAGAAGUUAUGGAAUGGAGCAGCAGGUGGCGAAAGAAGCUCUUGUGAAAGAUUUAAUUGUGGAGUCAGAUUUGCAAGAAGUAGUCAACUUAGUAAAUAACAAGGAGGGCAACAUAUUCGAUAUCUUUUGGGUGGUAUCGGAAAUUCAAAAGUUAAAGGAAAACUUCGAUCAUGUUGGUUUUGUGUAUACGCAUAGAUCUUGUAAUGCCAUUGCAUAUUCUUUAGCUAAGUUAGUUUUAGAGAAAUGUGAAACUGUUGUAUGGAAGGGUUCCUACCCUCUACAAGUUAUGUAUCUGUUCUCUUCUUUAAAUUAAUAAAAAUCUCUUUUAAAAAAAAUAUAUAAGUCUUAUAGUGGGAUUCACAGCAAUGUUAAAAAAAUUAAGUAAGAUAUAUUACAUUUAAAAGUAUAACUGAAUUUUAUUAUAGAAUUUAUUACUCUACAGUAUAACAAAUUAUCAUUUAAAUAUCUUAUAAACUCAGUAGCUGAUGAGACAACUCAACACAAGUUUUUCACAAGAAUAUCAAUAUGUAAAAUAAUCAAAAUUUUAUCAUUUAAUAGUUUAAUUAAUUUCAUAGUAUGACUCAUAAUAUUAUCAAAUGGUAGAUCUUCCGAGAUGGUGCGUCCGCCAUAUAAGUUUUUCUCAUUGCAUUUCUGUCACAACUCACAAGACACAAGGGCAGGGAUUUAAAUGAAAAUGGUACAAAUUGUUUUUCUUAUUUGUACUUUACCAAAACUAAGGAGAACAAUGGUUAAUAUCCCGAAAAAGGAAAAUUACAAGACGACGUGUCGAGUUGCCUACAUUCAUCACCGCUGCUGAGCACACCUGAAGAAGGACGAGCUCUGUUCCCCAUCAUCUUCCAGUCACUCUCUCGCUGUCUCUGUCUCAGUAUCACUGAAUGGAGCUGCAAGAAAUGGAAGAAAAACUGCAAAACAGGGACGUUUUACUUGAGGUGAAGAAGAAGAAUAAGAGGAAAAGGAGAAAGAAGAAGAGAAAUCGAGAGAAGAGAAAAGAAAAAAUCGAAGAAGAAGAAGACUUAUCGCAGGACCCACUUGAGGUUUUCGGUAGAGACAUAAUUUUGAUGAUACUUAAGAACCUCGACGCACGCAGCGUGGCACUAUCUCUCCUCGUGUCCCGUGCUUGGCACGGUGUCGCUUCCAGCGAUUCGAUUUGGUCAGCCAAGGUUAAAUUUCUUCUUUUUUUUUUAACCCUUUGGCUUGUAAUUUGUAUUUGAACUUGGGAUUAGUUUAUUUUGUAUUGAUUUAGUGCUUUCCUUGGAGAAUUUUUAUCAUUGGGUUGCUCUAAUUUCACAAAUGGGUUUUUGUUGUGGGAAAAUUGCAAUGGUUAUAUAAUGUAAAUGUUUGUCUAAUUUGGCAUGUGUUUUGAGAAAGUCUUGAUUAAGCUUGUUAAGUAUUUGUUUGCUGUGUGAAAUAAUCUUAAUAGUAAUCCAAUCAGUUUUGUCGUUUAAGUUUCAAUUAGGUUCCUACUAAAUUGUCUUCUCUUGAAUGACCAUAUGGGUAUCAUUACCACGAAUUUAGCAUACCAACAUUUAUUUAACCAACAUACUGCGUUCUGCAAAUUACUGUCUGUUGAAUGACCAUGCAUUUGGUUUUGAUUGUAAUUCAAAAUUGGUUGUAUUACAUUGUGAGUGAGAAAGGAAAUAGCUACAAAUUUUGUAGAACAUAUGGGAUUGUUGAAUGUAUGGGAAAGUGUCUGUGCAAUCUUCAGAUUUUAUACAAAUAAUCCUCUUGAUUUUUCUGCUUCCAAAUUUAGUAUUAUUUAGUCUAUGAUUAUUAUUUUGUUCUAUUCAAUUGUAUCAAAUGAUGGAAACUUAAAAAGAGGCAUGUUAUGGUUCCCAUCUAAGUGGAUAUGUCUUGUUGGGACACGGUGGGACUCUAAGGAUGUAAAAGAGUUUUGGGUUUGAAUCCCGCUCACAUAUUAAAACAAAGAAAAAAGAAAAAAAAAUGCAUCAUGUUUGUAUAUGUAAUGCAUUUAACCUCACAAAAUAACAUUUUGUGGUUUGGUCCUUUGUAAUUUUAACUGUUUGACAUUUUACCUCUGAAUUAACAUUUUUCUUAAGCACCUAGAAGUCUCUGUGAAUUUGGCCCCUCGUAUUCCCAGUUUUGGCUCUGCCUGUGGUUGGACCCCCACCCAAUAACAACUAAAUAAAUAAAUAUAUGAUGUGCUAGGGUUUUUUUUUUUCUUUUUUCCACAUUGUAUUUAUUUGUUGGUUGAAAUCCAUGCUUUUUAGAGGAGAGGCCAAUGAGGGGAUAUUAUGAAUCACUGGGUGAGUUGCAGUUACAUAAGAUGUGCAUUCUUGUGUUUGAUUUGAGAGAAUAAGGCAAUAAAUUACUUAGAAUAUUGUUUGCAGCUUCCCUUACCAACUAACUCGCCAAUAAAAGGCCCGAAAGAAGAGAGAACAUUGAAGCGGAGAAUAUCUUAUUGGCUUUAGUUCCACGUUACUCUAUUAGCUGGCGACCUGGCCCUUUUUGUGGUUUGAACAUGACUACUGGUCUUUUCCUUUUCAGUGAAUUUUGUUUUGUGUAUUUAAGCUUUUUAUUUCAUUAUUGAUAUGACUUUGAAAACUUGUUCUGGCCUUUGUUCCCAAGUUAUCCAGCAAACUGUGUUUUAUGUGUCUUGUUUUUGAGAUCCAUAUUGCUCCAAGAGCAUUAUUCGGUGAGUUUGCUCUAUGAAUUUAAGAACUGAGGUGCAAUGCCUUUGCGGGCUUCUAUUGCCUUAUAACCAAUGUUGCUUUCUUUGUUCUGACAGCAUGACUUCUGAAGUAUGUUAUAGUUCAGCUUCAAUUAUUUUCCCUGCAUCAUUUGAAAUUAACCGGAAGACAGUAUAGACCUGUUUCUGAAUUUUUCAACUUCUACAUUUAAGAGUAAGGAUAAUUUACUUGAGUUUCCUGUCCAUUUUAGUGCGAGGAAC